GGCAAUACGAAUCCCUCCUACACCACCACGUGGGGACAAAACGAAUCCCUCCUCCACCACCACCACCACGUGUGGACAAAACGAAUCCCUCCUCCUACACCACGAUCACGUGGGGACAAAACGAAUCCCUCCUACACCACCACCACCACGUGUGGACAAAACGAAUCCCUCCUCCUACACCUCCACCACCACCACGUGUGGACAAUAUGAAUCCCUCCUACACCACCACCACGACCAGCACCACGUGUGGCAUUCCCCUUGUACUGUCCGCCUGAGAGGCAGCCCUGAAGAAGGACACUGCUGCUUCCGGUGUGGCCCAAUCGGUUUCGUUACCCAAGUUCCACAACAGUCCUUUGGGCCUGUCGGUAAAGUCACUUAGCUGGAAAAAUAGUAAGCCACCGCCACUCCCUUUCCCUCGAUGUGGCGGUGGGUGGUCGUCGUUGAAUUUGCCGAAUGUCUCUCACGUUGACAACGCUGAUCUCUCGUCUCUAGCAACACAAUGGGUUAUUCAGCACUGUAGCUGUGUAUGGGGGGGUUACAUGAACAGGUUGACACUCUCGUCUCUAGCAACACAAUUGGUUAUUCAGCACUGUAGCUGUGUGGGGGGUUACAUGAACAGGUUGACACUCUCGUCUCUAGCAACACAAUGGGUUAUUCAGCACCGUUGCUGUGUGGGGGUUACAUGAACAGGUUGACACUCUCGUCUCUAGCAACACAAUGGGUUAUUCAGCACUGUAGCUGUGUAUGGGGGGGUUACAUGAACAGGUUGACACUCUCGUCUCUAGCAACACAAUUGGUUAUUCAGCACUGUAGCUGUGUGGGGGGUUACAUGAACAGGUUGACACUCUCGUCUCUAGCAACACAAUGGGUUAUUCAGCACCGUUGCUGUGUGGGGGGUUACAUGAACAGGUUGACACUCUCGUCUCUAGCAACACAAUGGGUUAUUCAGCACCGUAGCUGUAGGGGGGUUACAUGAACAGGUUGACACUCUCGUCUCUAGCAACACAAUGGGUUAUUCAGCACCGCAGCUGUGUGGGGGGUUACAUGAACAGGUUGACACUCUCGUCUCGAGCAACACAAUGGGUUAUUCAGCACCGUAGCUUUAGGGGGGUUACAUGAACAGGUUGACACUCGUCUCUAGCAACACAAUGGGUUAUUCAGCACCGUAGCUGUGUGGGGGUUACAUGAACAGGUUGACACUCUCGUCUCUAGCAACACAAUGGGUUAUUCAGCACCGUAGCUGUAGGGGGUUACAUGAACAGGUGGACACUCUCGUCUCUAGCAACACAAUGGGUUAUUCAGCACUGUAGCUGUGUGGGGGGUUACAUGAACAGGUUGACACUCUCGUCUCUAGCAACACAAUGGGUUAUUCAGCACUGUAGCUGUAGGGGGGUUACAUGAACAGGUUGACAAGCUUAUCUCUAGCAAUACAAUGGGUUAUUCAGCACCUUAGCUUUAGGGGGGUUACAUGAACAGGUUGACACUCUCGUCUCUAGCAACACAAUGGGUUAUUCAGCACUGUAGCUGUAGGGGGUUACAUGAACAGGUUGACACUCGUCUCUAGCAACACAAUGGGUUAUUCAGCACCGUAGCUGUGUGGGGGGUUACAUGAACAGGUUGACACUCUCGUCUCUAGCAACACAAUGGGUUAUUCAGCACUGUAGCUGUAGGGGGGUUACAUGAACAGGUUGACAAGCUUAUCUCUAGCAACACAAUGUCCUGGGUGUACCUGGCUCUGCGAUCUUACAUUCACUUGCAAAUUCCAUCUCUAGCCCGUGCCCACUCAGCCUUGGGUUGCACCCAUCUCAGACUUUGCGUAAAAAAAAAACCUUUGGAUUGCGAGUAACGUCGGCCCCGCGAGUUGUUUUGCAAGACGAGCCAAAAAAAAAACCAAAAGUUUAAAUGAAUCUUGACUUGACGAACGGGCGAGGUUGCCUUGAAGUACGAGCAGUGAACGUGAACACGCUUCGCACUGCCCAGCGUCACGUGAUCACAACUGACGCACGGGUGCUUUGAUAUACGAGCGAUUUGGAUGACGAGCAGGCGUGUUUCCGGAAGGAAUUGUGCUUUGCAAUCCAAGGUUUUUUUUUUUACCGUGAUAACCUCUUCCAUGCUUUCGCUCUCUCGCUAUUCUUCCCCCGUAUUUUGUUUUCGCCCGAUGGCGAAUGCUUUGUGUUGCCACGAUGGAAACGUCGUGUGAUUUGUCGCCGUUAUUACUUUUUUAAAAAAAUUUCCCCCCCUCCAUCGACGUGGCUUUGCAGAAAGACCCACAGAGAUUCUGAGUUCCUGCAGUCACGAAAGCUUCAAGUCAACAUCAUAGUUACGCUAUUAUUAUUGAAGGCAACGCGUGUAACAUCAUCAUCAUGAUCAUGAUUUUGAUUGUGAUCAGAGCGGCGAUGUUUGCGUGUUCAGCGCAAAGUGCCGCGUGCGGUUUUACGCAGAAACUUCAUCCCCUGCCAAAAGGCUGCGAUCCGUUUGGUGAUUUUUUUUUUUUACAUCGUGAACACGACUGCUGUUGUGUUGUCCGGAGAAGCAGAAACGCAUCCCAUAAUCUGGACGAUGUUGUUGACGAUGUUGAUGAUGUUGAUGAUGUUGUUGAUGAUGACGGUGUUGCUUGUUGCAUGAGAAUAAAUCGCGGGGGGAGGCUGUGGAGUUUCGGCCGUAGCCUGCACAGAGCAAGG